rnacentral:misc_RNA from 3 species
AACGCACAUUGCGCCCCUUGGUAUUCCGAGGGGCAUGCCUGUUCGAGCGUCAUUAUAACCCCUCAAGCUCAGCUUGGUGUUGGGGCCUGCUGCACUGGCAGCCCUUAAAAUCAGUGGCGGCGCCAUCUGGCUCUAAGCGUAGUAAUUCUUCUCGCUAUGGAGUCCUGGUGGAUGCUUGCCAUCAACCCCCAAUUUUUCUAUGGUUGACCUCGGAUCAGGUAGGGAUACCCGCUGAACUUAA